GGCCAGCAUGGUGAAACCCCAUCUCUACUAAAAAUACAAAAAUUAGCUGGGCAUGGUGGCAUGCGCCUGUAAACCCAACGGGUUGUUUCAAAUGUUUCAUGACAAUAAAAACACUUCAGUGAACAUCUCUGCACAUUCAUCAGAUGUACUUGUUUGACCAUAACCUUAGGAUAUAUUCUUUUUAUUUUCAACAAUAAAAAACUGGGUAAAUAAAUGUUGGUAUUCUCAUUCAGUGAAAAUUAAGCUAGUAUGAAAAACAAUUAUCUAGACCCAUAUUUACUGACAUCGAAAAAUGUCCAUUUUUUAAAAAUAAAGCAGCUUAUAGACAAUAUACAUUUGCUUAAUGAAGAACUGCUCAGAGAUAAUAUUCAUUAAUUUUGUUACUCUCAAAAACCAGAAACAAAGAGGGUAAUGAGAAUAUGUCAGUAUUUUUAUGCUAUCAAGGAGACAGGGAUACUCACAUUUUUAUCCUAGACUCUGGAAUGAGUUGCUUCCCUCUCUGAUUUCUUCAUCUGUAAAAUGAGAGAGUAAAAAAAUAGAUUAAAAUCUUUCCAGUUUUAGAUUUUAAAUACAUGUUCACUAACAUGUAGAAUUAAAUAUGAUAUGAGAAUGUGUUGGAUCCUGUCCAAAAGUGUGCUGGCUAACAGAGAACCAACAUGUUAGGGUGUGAUCAGCCUGGGGCGGUGCUGAGCCCCGAGCUGUGAAAGCGUUCUGCAUGGAGCAGACUUUGCAGUUCUGUUCUUAGGACAGUCUAGUAGGUAAAAUGAGACCAGCACUGAGACAGAGGGAAAUUCUUGCAGAUAAUUGUUUUAUACCAUGUCAAUGAAAAAAACUUUAACUGUGCCAGGAUUCAGAAUGUGACAAGGUUUUAGAAUCUACCAAAAUUCUACUGAAACGUGGCUAUGACUAAAACAAAUAAGAUGCUUCUGUAAACAGAUCGUGACUUGUCUGUUAGCCCCUUUGAAAACAAUGUGCAUGUGAUUUAUUACGGAUUAUAAUUACCUCGUGAAGUAAUGGGAUUUGUGCAGUUUUUGUCUGUCUGGAUAAAAACCCUUGGCUGUGUCUUCUAACUUGGUGAAAAAUCACAGCAACAGAGGCAGCCCAAGGAUUUUAAAUCAUCCUGUGCAUACUCUCAUUUUGUUUUUUUGCUGUGGCUUUUACCUACUAGAGAGGAUAAUGCAUUGUCCCCAGGGAAUUAGAGACUGUCAUAUAUGCCUUAUAGAAUACAACGGAGAUUAAGUAAUAUACACACAUAUGAAGUUAUAUGUACAGUAAUUGACAUUAGGUGCUCCAUUAAACAAUGAAAUGCCACAGUGUACCAGUUCUUCAGGACAUGUUGCCAUGGAUACCCAGUGUGAUGGAGAUGGGGAAAGAGUUGCUGAGGAAUUCAACCAUUUCAUCUUGAGGUGGACUGAAAAAUAAACUGCCCAGAGACAGGAACCAUGAAACCAGUCAAAUAUACAAGUAGUUGUUUUCAAAACUGUCAAAAAAAAAAACGGAAAACAUGUUUGAAAAUGAGUGCCAAUUAAUAACAGUUAUUUUAUAGUUUCUGUUUCAUUAAGCCAAAGGGAACGGGCAGGGUUCUUUAUUUCAGCUAGGAAAUUAUGUGAUAUAUUAGAUAUUUACAGAAGAAAGUAUUUUAAUCAAAGCUGAAUAAAAUUCAGAAAAUCAUGUGUAGAAAUAUAGAAACAUGGCAGUAGGCUGGUAGGCAAGUUCUCUCAGGGUCUGCUCAGGUGCACUGAGUACUGUGAACCUCAGGUGGCCUUGGGGUUGAUGACAAAGCAAAGAUUUCAGAAAGGAGCAAGUUUUAAGAAUGAAUGUGAUGCAAUAGAAGCAGAGGCAAGGAUGACAGCUAACUGGUUUGAUGUGAUUUUGUGGUUUGUAACCAGGACUAAGUGUCUGAUUAUUUGAUUUUCUAGAGACAUUGCUGAUUUCAUCACUAACCUUCUCCCAAGAAAUUCUCAUCUCUUAUCAAAAACAAGGUCCCUGGAAUGAAGUUCAGAGAACUCACU